UCAGGAUGAACGCUAGCUACAGGCUUAACACAUGCAAGUCGAGGGCAGCAUGGGGUAGCAAUACUCAGAUGGCGACCGGCGCACGGGUGAGUAACACGUAUCCAACCUGCCGCUUACUCGGGGAUAGCCUUUCGAAAGAAAGAUUAAUACCCGAUGGUAUAAAGAGUUCGCAUGUUCUCUUUAUUAAAGAAUUUCGGUAAGCGAUGGGGAUGCGUUCCAUUAGAUAGUUGGCGGGUAACGGCCCACCAAGUCUACGAUGGAUAGGGGUUCUGAGAGGAAGGUCCCCACAUUGGAACUGAGACACGGUCCAAACUCCUACGGGAGGCAGCAGUGAGGAAUAUUGGUCAAUGGACGAGAGUCUGAACCAGCCAAGUCGCGUGCAGGAAGAAUGUCCUAUGGAUUGUAAACUGCUUUUGCAGGGGAAUAAAGUGCAUCACGUGUGAUGUUUUGUAUGUACUCUGCGAAUAAGGAUCGGCUAACUCCGUGCCAGCAGCAGC
rnacentral:rRNA from 1 species